rnacentral:rRNA from 1 species
GACGAACGCUGGCGGCGUGCUUAGCACAUGCAAGUCGAACGGAAAGGCCCUGCUUUUGUGGGGUGCUCGAGUGGCGAACGGGUGAGUAACACGUGAGUAACCUGCCCUUGACUUUGGGAUAACUUCAGGAAACUGGGGCUAAUACCGGAUAGGAGCUCCUGCUGCAUGGUGGGGGUUGGAAAGUUUCGGCGGUUGGGGAUGGACUCGCGGCUUAUCAGCUUGUUGGUGGGGUAGUGGCUUACCAAGGCUUUGACGGGUAGCCGGCCUGAGAGGGUGACCGGCCACAUUGGGACUGAGAUACGGCCCAGACUCCUACGGGAGGCAGCAGUGGGGAAUAUUGCACAAUGGGCGGAAGCCUGAUGCAGCAACGCCGCGUGCGGGAUGACGGCCUUCGGGUUGUAAACCGCUUUCGCCUGUGACGAAGCGUGGGUGACGGUAAUGGGUAAAGAAGCACCGGCUAACUACGUG